rnacentral:rRNA from 1 species
UACGUAGGGUCCGAGCGUUGUCCGGAAUUACUGGGCGUAAAGAGCUCGUAGGUGGUUUGUCGCGUUGUUCGUGAAAACUCACAGCUCAACUGUGGGCGUGCGGGCGAUACGGGCAGACUAGAGUACUGCAGGGGAGACUGGAAUUCCUGGUGUAGCGGUGGAAUGCGUAGAUAUCGGGAGGAACACCUGUGGCGAAGGCGGCCCCCUGGUUGGAUACUGACGCUGAGACGCGAAAGCGUGGGGAGCAAACAGG